rnacentral:rRNA from 1 species
GAUGAACGCUGGCGGCAUGCCUAACACAUGCAAGUCGAUCGGUAAGGCUCUUCGGAGUACACGAGAGGCGGACGGCUGAGUAACGCGUAGGAACACACCCUGCAGUGAGGGAUAAGACACCGAAAGGUGUUCUAAUACCGCAUACGGUCUUCGGAUUAAAGCAUUUAUGCGCUGAAGGAGUGGCCUGCGUCAUAUUAGAUAGUUGGUGAGGUAAUGGCUCACCAAGUCGAUGAUGUGUAGCUGGUCUGAGAGGAUGAUCAGCCAGACUGGAACUGAGACACGGCCCAGACUCCUACGGGAGGCAGCAGUGAGGAAUAUAUCACAAUGAGCGAAAGCUUGAUGGAGCAAUGCCGCGUUCAGGAUGAAGGCCCUCGGGUUGUAAACUGCUUUUAUAAGAGAAGAUUAUGACGGUAACUUAUGAAUAAGGGACGGCUAACUACGUG